AAUAUUAAUUAUCUAAAUAAUUAAAAUAAAAAUAAAAAAUAAAAAACCGCCUAGGCGCUAAGCCCCCCCCUCGGCCGCCCGCCCGCUUACCGCCUACUGCCUAGUGCUUUUUAGAACACUGAUAACAAUAGAAAAAUUGGCCACCGGCUUUUGGAAGAGACCCUAUAAAGCUAAGGUCCUUUGUAGUUUUACCUUGAAAAUAUGUUGUUGAUUUUGCAGAGACCAUGGCAGUGAAAGUAAAUGUCUUAAACUAAGAAUCACGGACACGGACACGUGUGUCGUGUCGGGUAUUGACACGACACACUGACACGUCAAUUUUCAAAAAAUGUAGGAUACGACACGGCGGAGAUACGGCAAAUAUAUAUAUGUUUUAUCGGCAAAUAUAUAUAUAUAUAUAUAUAUUUAUAUGUCCUAUAUAUUUAUAUUAUAAUCAAGGGUAAUUAAAUAAGUGUGCUUUGACCUUUGUGUAUGAGCCUUUAAAAAUAGCAUUACAAAAUUUACACUGAAACUCCUAAUUUCCUCCCCCUCCUACAGUCUUAUCAAGUCUAGUAACAUACUUCCACAAAGGUUUAUUUUCAUUCUCUUCACGAAUUUUAGGAAUAUUAAAAGAACUAUUAGAACCACCUUGUGAAGCCAUAUUUUAAAGUUCCUAUUAAAAAAAAAAAGCAUAUACAAAACAGUGAAACACACAGUAGUAGCACAAUCAGGGAAGCAAUCAUAAUCAGAGAAGAAGGAGAAGGAGAAGAAAAAGAAUCAGCAAAAAAAAAAGUAGCAGCAGUAGUCAUAUUCAAAAAAGAGGAAGAAGACGACACAACAAUUAGCCAAAAAAAAAUAAAAAACAAAGUAACAGGCAGCAACAAUCAUAAUCAAAGAAGAAGAAGGAGGAGAAGAAGAAAAAGUGUGCAAGAGAGAGAGAGACAUAUCUGGACAAGUGGUUUUCUUCAUCGUCUCCCUCUUCUUCGCUUCAUUCUUCUUCGAUUAGGGCUUGUUGCAACAGGUAGGUUUUUCACUCCUAGCCCUAGGGUUUCUC
rnacentral:lncRNA from 1 species